rnacentral:misc_RNA from 1 species
CACAUGCAUGGCUUAAUCUUUGAGACAAGCAUAUGACUACUGGCAGGAUCAACCAGGUAGCAUCCUUUCUCGACUUCGGACCCGCAUUGAUGCAACGGGCCUAGACGGCCCGCGAUCAAUGAGGUAUCGAAAGUCAUUCCUAUCGAGGGACUUGAAUGGGAGCAACCGGAGGCCGAGACCCCCCAUGUCCGCUUAAUUUUCCACAUCCGAGAGCGCGAGCAAUCGUCCUGUGGACCGAGACAGCCAAGACAACAGUCAGAGGAUGUGCCCGGGACGCAGGCACUGCUUUUGAGGUCCACUUUGCAGCCGCAGGAGCCACAAAGGGGAAAGGGGCGGGGCUAUCUCACGAAAUUUUCCAUCUGACGGGAAGGCAACACAGGAACC